UUUGACUAAAAUAUACAAAUAUUAUACAGUGCUUCUAUUACAGUGUUGUUCUCUGCCACUCUGGUACAUUCUACAGACGUCCGCUCACUGUGUUAUGGAGUCUGUCCUAUGAGACGACAUCCUAGUUCUGUAGAAGGAAUGUGGUGGACAGUUCUAGCAACGGAAACAACCACUGGGCAAUGCGGGCUGUACAACAACCAGUGUCCUUGCAAAUGCAUUGGGUACAAGUUCA